rnacentral:rRNA from 1 species
GGAAUAUUGCGCAAUGGACGAAAGUCUGACGCAGCGACGCCUCGUGAGGGACGAAGGUCUUCGGAUUGUAAACCUCUUUCAGCAGGGACGAAGCGAAAGUGACGGUACCUGCAGAAGAAGCACCGGCUAACUAUGUGCCAGCAGCCGCGGUAAUACAUAGGGUGCAAGCGUUGUCCGGAUUUAUUGGGCGUAAAGAGUUCGUAGGCGGUUUUUCGCGUCGGAUGUGAAAACUCAGGGCUCAACCCUGAGCCUGCAUUCGAUACGGGAAGACUCGAGGACGGCAGGGGAGACUGGAACUUCUGGUGUAGCGGUGGAAUGCGCAGAUAUCAGAAAGAACACCAAUGGCGAAGGCAGGUCUCUGGGCCGAUCCUGACGCUGAGGAACGAAAGCGUGGGGAGCAAACAGGAUUAGAUACCCUGGUAGUCCACGCCGUAAACUAUGGACGCUAGGUGUGGGGGACAUUCCACGUUCUCUGCGCCGCAGCUAACGCAUUAAGCGUCCCGCCUGGGGAGUACGACCGCAAGGUUAAAACUCAAAGGAAUUGACGG